rnacentral:rRNA from 1 species
CCUACGGGAGGCUGCAGUGAGGAAUAUUGGUCAAUGGCCUGAAGGCUGAACCAGCCAAGCCGCGUGAAGGACGACGGUGCCAAGCAUUGUAAACUUCUUUUGUCAAGGGACAAAAUCAGGCACGAGAGCCUGACCGAGGGUACUUGAAGAAAAAGCAUCGGCUAACUCCGUGCCAGCAGCCGCGGUAAUACGGAGGAUGCGAGCGUUAUCCGGAUUUAUUGGGUUUAAAGGGUGCGUAGGCGGGCUGUUAAGUCAGCGGUAAAAGCCCGGGGCUCAACCCCGGCGAGCCGUUGAAACUGGCGGUCUUGAGAUGUCGAGAGGUAUGCGGAAUGCGCAGUGUAGCGGUGAAAUGCUUAGAUAUUGCGCAGAACUCCGAUUGCGAAGGCAGCAUACCGGCGGCGAUCUGACGCUGAGGCACGAAAGCGUGGGUAUCGAACAGGAUUAGAUACCCUAGUAGUC